rnacentral:rRNA from 1 species
CCUACGGGCGGCAGCAGUGAGGAAUAUUGGUCAAUGGGCGCUAGCCUGAACCAGCCAAGUAGCGUGAAGGAUGACUGCCCUAUGGGUUGUAAACUUCUUUUAUAUGGGAAUAAAGUGCAGUAUGUAUACUGCUUUGCAUGUACCUUAUGAAUAAGGAUCGGCUAACUCCGUGCCAGCAGCCGCGGUAAUACGGAGGAUCCGAGCGUUAUCCGGAUUUAUUGGGUUUAAAGGGAGCGUAGGUGGGUUGUUAAGUCAGUUGUGAAAGUUUGCGGCUCAACCGUAAAAUUGCAGUUGAUACUGGCAGCCUUGAGUACAGUAGAGGUAGGCGGAAUUCGUGGUGUAGCGGUGAAAUGCUUAGAUAUCACGAAGAACUCCGAUUGCGAAGGCAGCCUGCUGGACUGUCACUGACGCUGAUGCUCGAAAGUGUGGGUAUCAAACAGGAUUAGAUACCCGAGUAGUC